CACCCAACAGCUAGUCCAACCCCAAACUACAACUUAACCAUAUCCAACAAAGUCAAAAAGAUCCCGCCCACUAAUUAAAGCAUUCUACCCCUUUAGUAUAGGAGAUAGAAAAAGACCUAGGAACAAUAGAAAAAGUACCGCAAGGGAACGCUGAAAGAGAAGUGAAACAACUCAGUAAAGCCAAAAAAAGCAGAGACCCCCCCUCGUACCUUUUGCAUCAUGAUUUAGCCAGCACCAGUUAAGCAAAAAGAAUUUUAGUUUAACACCCCGAAACUAUGUGAGCUACUCCAAGACAGCCUAUAAGUUGGGCACCCCCGUCUCUGUGGCAAAAGAGUGGGAUGAGCUUCGAGUAGAGGUGAUAAACCUACCGAACCUAGUGAUAGCUGGUUGCUUGGGACUUGAAUAGAAGUUCAGCCUCUCUAUUUCUUUUUUCCCCGUAUUUAUACAAGCCCGAUAAAAAGUAGUCGAAAGAGUAAAUCAAAGAGGGUACAGCCCCUUUGAUAAAAGAAACAACUUUUCCAGGAGGUUAAAGAUCAUAUUCAAUAAGGCCAAAUGUUUUAGUAGGCCUAAAAGCAGCCACCUUAACAGAAAGCGUUAUAGCUCAAACAUAAUUGCAUGCCCUCAAUACUGAUAUUUCCUCUCACCCCCCUAACACUACCAAGCUGCUCCAUGCCUACAUGGAAGAAACCCUGCUAAAAUGAGUAAUACGGAACUACCCCUUCCUCUUCGCACACGCAUAAAUCGGAACGGACCCCCCGCCGAACAUUAACGCCCCCUACACAAGAGGGUAGUGAAUAAAAAAUAGACUACAAGAAAACCAUCCUAUAUUACAUCGUUAAUCCAACACUGGUGUGCUUGCAAAGAAAGACUUAAAGAGAAAGAAGGAACUCGGCAAACACAAGCCUCGCCUGUUUACCAAAAACAUCGCCUCUUGAACAAGAAUAAGAGGUCCCGCCUGCCCUGUGACCCCUGGUUUAACGGCCGCGGUAUUUUGACCGUGCAAAGGUAGCGCAAUCACUUGUCUUUUAAAUGAAGACCCGUAUGAAUGGCAUCACGAGGGCUUAACUGUCUCCUUUUUCCAGUCAAUGAAAUUGAUCUCCCCGUGCAGAAGCGGGGAUGUAUUCAUAAGACGAGAAGACCCUGUGGAGCUUUAGACACAAGAACAAGCCACGUUAAGCACAUAUCUUAAUAUAUAAAACCCGCCGGUUUUUGUUCAUUUGUCUUCGGUUGGGGUGACCACGGGGAAACAAACAACCCCCGCGCGGAUAAGAGGCAUAAAACCUCCACAACCAAGAGCAGCAGCUCUAAUUAACAGAACUUCUGACCACCAGAUCCGGCAACGCCGAUCAACGGACCAAGUUACCCCAGGGAUAACAGCGCAAUCCUCUUUUAGAGCCCAUAUCGACAAGAGGGUUUACGACCUCGAUGUUGGAUCAGGACAUCCUAAUAGUGCAGCCGCUGUUAAGGGUUCGUUUGUUCAACGAUUAUAGUCCU
rnacentral:rRNA from 1 species